UUGUAUUAUCUUGUUUAUGUUUGAUUUUCAUCUUUCACUGGGUUCACUUUUAUAAUAUUUUCCAUUAUUUAAUAAAAAAGUCUGUAUAUUUUUAUACUUUUUUUUCAACCUUUUUAUUUAUUUAUUUAUUUUUUACAAUUUCUUUCUCAUAGUGUUUUUAAUGUGCUUGAUAGAUAUUUUAAGGAAUUUUUUUCUAUUCAGAUUUUUUUUCUUGGUUUGAUCUGAUGUAAAUUAGUUUCUCACCCCAUGUUUCUUUUAUCUCUGUGUUUAUUAGUUUAGUGAUUGCUAAGUCGUUUUCAUUGUACUGUGUGCUUUUAAUGUCGUUAACUUAAUUUCUUUUCAGAUUUUAUAAAUUUUUUCGGAUUUUUUUAAUUUUUAGGUUUUUUUGGGACUUUAAAUUAUUUGAUAUCAAUGUUGUCUCUAGUUUAUUAUAAUGUAAUGUAAUUUAGCUUUGUAGGAUAUGUUUCAGCUCAUAAAUAGUCUGAUAAAUAGGGAACAACCUGACAAAAUGGGAUCUAGUUUGUUAUUUGGAAUCUGUGUGACUGAUAUUAAUUCCAGAAUGAUUUUGAACCUCCUAAUAUGAGUUUAGAUUCUAAGGAAUUGAUGAUUUCUGCUUAUUCUGGAACAACCUGACAAAGUGGGAUUUAGUUGGUUAUGUGGAAUCUGCAUAUCUGAGAUGAAUUCCAGAAUGAUUUGUUUUGAACCGCCUAAUAUGAGUCUAGACACUAAAGAAUGAUUAUUUCUGCUUAUGCUGACAAUCUGUUGCCGCUAUUCUUUAGAUCGGAAAGAAGUUAAGACAUUGAUUGUGCUGCAUAAUAUGGUGCUACAUAGUUCUGCUUUUAUUCUCUCGGAUCCAUUCAGCAAUGCAAGAAAGUUCCUUUGAAUAAUGAGCAGGGGUCUUCAUCGAACUGGUUGCAGUCCUUUUAGUGGUGAAGGAGCUUAUCAAAACCAAAUUAACUUGAAAUGUGUUCUCCUAACAUAUGUAAGAUGGAGUCCUAGCGAAGGAUAUUGUCAAGAUUUUAAUAUGUUAGCAGCUAUUAUUCUAGAAGAGGAUGCUCUUUCAGUUACACGGACCAGAAGGCACGCCACAUCAACGAUCCUCACCAGGGAUAAAAAGGGCCACUUGGACUCAAACCUCAUUCAC